rnacentral:SRP_RNA from 1 species
GCUGGGUGUGGUGGCAUACACCUGUUGUCCUAGCUACUCAAAAGGCUGAGGUGGGAGGAUUGCUUGAGCCUAGGAUUUCAAGGUUGCAGUGAGCUAUGAUAGUGCCACCGUACGCUAGCCUAGGCGACAGAGUGAGACCCUAUUCUUUUUUUUUUUGAGACAGAGUCUCCCGCUGUCGCCCAGGCUAGCGUGCGGUGGCACUAUCAUAGCUCACUGCAACCUUGAAAUCCUAGGCUCAAGCAAUUCUCCCACCUCAG